rnacentral:rRNA from 1 species
UACGGGGGGGGCAAGCGUUGUUCGGAAUUACUGGGCGUAAAGGGCUCGUAGGCGGCCAACUAAGUCGGACGUGAAAUCCCUCGGCUUAACCGGGAACUGCGUCCGAUACUGGAUGGCUUGAGGUUGGGAGAGGGAUGCGGAAUUCCAGGUGUAGCGGUGAAAUGCGCAGAUAUCAGGAAGAACACCCGUGGCGAAGGCGGUUCUCUGGGACGGUACUGACGCUGAGACGCGAAAGCGUGGGGAGCGAACAGG